GCCACGACGCCGUUGAUGUCCGACGAAAGUCGAUGGCGGGAACGGGGUACCCACAACUGACGGCCUCCAGCCGUCUCGGGGUGAAGCCAGGUGUCCCCCUGGCCGGUUUCACAGGAGCCGAACCCGACAGGUCAUACUCCGCAAGCGAUCCUGAGAUCCCUC
rnacentral:sRNA from 2 species